AAUAAAAUAGGGUCAAAGUGAAUUACGUGAAUAAUGCAAAAGGUCAAAACAGUGCGAGUAUUAACGGAGUAUUUAUUAUUGUUAUAAAAAAAUACGGAGUAAAAAAUUAUGUCUUCCUAAAUUCCGGCAUUAUUUCUAAGUUCUCCGGCGAUAAAACUUCUACCUUCACAUAAACGGCGCUGCGCCAUCGGCUUCCUCUGCUGCAAGCACCACCGAGUUCCUCCGAUGCCAGCACGACUUCUGCCAGCGGUUGACUGUUGUUGUCGCUGAGUAUCUCUCUUCACCUCCGACAAAGAUAAGGAUUUUAGUUAAUUUUUAGUUUGCUGAGGUUUCUGCUGAGGUUAAUUUUUAGUUUCCAUCGACGUCCACUUCUCGGCAACCGUUUUCCCUCAUUAUCUCCGUCGAAUAUUAAGGCUUUUUCCCACCAACCACUUGCAUUUUGUUCAUUCUUCGUAUAGCCUCCAGUGGCUAUCUAAGGUGCCAGCAGACAUAGAGGACAACAAGGAGAACAUUUACAUAGCAAGGACAAGCCCGUCUAAUGUGCUUAGAGCUUACAAUAAGCAUUUUGAAAAGGAAUCAUGUUAAAUGUUUGAGUUUCUUGCCACCGUCCUCAAUGAUUUGGUUUUUGAGGUGUGCAGAGUAUAUUUAGCCCUAAGUUUCUCUAUCUCGCUGUCUCUUCUCUUCCAGCGUUGUUUCCUCUUCUAAUUCGCUGUUGCGUCUGUUAUUGGUUGUCUGCUGCUGUGGUUUACAGUGUGCAGUGUCUGGUUGUUGCUGGCUUGCUGCUGUUACUUUCUACUGUUGCUUUGCUGGUGCUUUCAAGUGCAGUCUGUUCUGUUUGGUGUGCAUAAGUAAUCUCUAUGACCGACAUAUCAGCAAGUCCAAUCAAGGCGCUCAGCUUAUGUUCCUGCUGAUGGUGAAGGAAAGUUGCGUUAUUAGCUGGUGGGGAUGUAUUGGCGAUACUUCUGUUUGCUGCAAUUGGAAGAUUUAGCCAUGAUUUCCUGUUUUCGAAGCUGAAACGUUGCGUAUUGGUCACCCAUUCAUCGCGGGAUGAUUUCUUAGUGCAUACUUCUUUGGAGGAUAUAGUGAGGAUGGUCAAGGGAUGAAUGGUUCGAAUAAGGCAGUAGCUGCUGCGGCUAAAUCUUGGGCCUUGGGUAUACCGGUAAGUCCGUUUUUUACCUUUUUCAUGUUUACUCCAUGAAUUCACACUUGAAAGAUCGAUCCUCAUUGAACAAUGCAUUUCUGCUCCAAAUAAAGUCUGCAACUUCUUAAACUGUAUAGGAGAAUCAUGUAUUAAAUCAGUACAUGUUGAGAAACUUUUCAUGGCAUUGGAUUUUUGCCUUCAGCCUCCAGGGGACAGUCCAACGAGAAAGUCCAUGUUUGAUUCUCUCAUUGUUGGCUGCAUCCCUGUUGUGUUUGAUCCAUUCACGGCACAUUAUCUUGGAAGUAUUCCGUGUUUAUAGACCAAGACGAGGUCAAGCUGUCAUGGGUGAAUGUGAUAGAGAGGCUUAUGAAGAUCCCUCGAAAAGAAACGCAACAAAUGAGGAAGUAUAUUAUUAAUGAGUUGAUGCCUAGGUUGGUUUAUGCAACUGCUAACACCAAGUUGGAGAAAUUUGAAGAUGCAUUCACUCUAGCUGUGAAUAAUUUGCUUGAAAGGGCGAUUAGCAGAUUUCCUUGAAUAGGAAUUAAAGGAUGUUUUCCUUCUUUUUAGAUAUUAAGCUAGAAAUUAUUAUAUUUUUUUCCCCUUUUACAUAGGGAAAAUGUUGUUAAUAGAAAGCCAUACAAUAUCUUCAAUAACACAAAUUUG